AUUAACGCUAGCGGCAGGCAUAAUACAUGCAAGUUGAACGGCAGCACAGGUAGCAAUACUGGGUGGCGAGUGGCGCACGGGUGCGUAACACGUAUGCAACCUACCCUAUACAGGCGAAUAACCUUUAGAAAUGAGGGCUAAUACGCCGUAGUAUUACAGAUGGGCAUCUAUUUGUAAUUAAAGAUUUUAUCGGUAUAGGAUGGGCAUGCGUCCCAUUAGUUAGUUGGUAAGGUAACGGCUUACCAAGACGAU
rnacentral:rRNA from 1 species